CCGAGGACAGAGUUGUCUGUGUGUGGCGGGGGACGGUGCGGAUGGCCUGGGCCGUGGGGCAGAGGCUGUUCUCCGACCCCAUCGUCAUGGGAAGCCAUCAUCGUCCCUGGUACAGGUUGGGGAAACUGAGGCCAGGAGGAAGAGGGACCAGCCUGGGCUGCAAGAACCCAGGGAGUCCUCUUCCUCCCCUCGGGCAGUCUUUCCCAUCUUUCAAGCCCUGGGCUGUGCCUCUGGGAAGCAGGCCACAUCCUGUUGGUGGCAGAGCAGCCCUGCUGGGAAGUCUUCCUUGGAGUCAGACUUUCACACGAGGCUUCAGGGCUGUGGGGGGCACAGACGGGCGCAGACGGUCACCUCCUCCUGGUCUUGCGCCUACCUCAUGCUGCCUCUAGCCAGGAUAGCCAGGUGGCUCUCACCCCGGCUGGCUCCCAGGCGGUGCCCCCAUCUGUGCAGCCGGCGGGAGCCCUGGAGCCCCAGUGAGACGCAGUAAGCCGAGAGAUGCGGGGUAUCUGUUCAUCUGGCAUUUACUGAGUGUCCACUGGGCAGCAGGCUCUGGGGACACAGGAAGCGCAGUCCUGUCCUGACGGCUGGCACAGGAGCGAGGACACAGCUACGGGACAGAAUCUCUCUAUGUAGCUGAGGCUGUCCUGGAACUCCCGGAGAUCCCUCUGCCUCAGCCUCCCAAGUGGUGGGCUCACAGAUGAGCUCUACUACGCCCAGCAAUUGUCGAAGGUUUGAGGUGUCCUAUGGCCAGACCUGGGCUCCAGGGUCCGGCUGGUUUCCAUCUGAAGGUGCUUGCAGACCACACCUGCCCCGCGGACGAGGGAAGGGGACCAGGAUGCCCUCACCCUCUGGCCACACACAGGCCGAGGAAGGUGGCUGGGAUGGAGGGCGGAUCACCCAGGAUCAGCCAUCCUGCGGGUCGGCAGACCUGGGCUGGGACCAUCCAGAGGACCCUUGCUGUUUCCCAAGCUGUCCCUGCUGUGCGGUGCUCUUGGCUGUCUCUGUGGACCACCCCCCAACCUCUUUCCUUCUCAAUACUGUUGCCAAACAUCUGGAAGAAAAGUGAAAAACGUGCCCCCCCGAGUCCCGGAUGUUGUGAGAUUUCCAGAUGUGGGGUGUUCUGCCCUCCAGAUGAGGCAAGGAAUGUGUCCCAGUGGGGGAGGCCCCCAGCCCUGGACUGCUGUCCUGUCCAAGUGAGCUGAGCAAUGGUUGAGCGGGACCUAGGAUGGCCACGGGGAGGAGGGGCCCAGGUGGAGGUGGUGGGGAGCACUGUCCUCUCAGGCUGGGCUAUACCCCUGACUGCCCCGGGAACCCCCUUGGGGUCUGGGGGUGGCGCUGCCUCUGAAGUUGCUAUCAAAGGCUCCCGGCACUUAAAAAUAACCAGGCACACCCUCCUCCCACCCCCAGCACGGAGGCAGGCAGGGGCUGGGCCCAAUGUGUGCGCAAGAUGUCCUCGAUCUCUGCGGCUUGCACUCGAGGGUCUCUUGCCGCCUCAGCCUCCCACCACCCCGGAGUGGCCCAGGUAGGUUGUGCUGCAUCCCUGCUGUCCAGGCCGGGCACUCAGGGGUGGCUGAAGAGGGCACUGAGCAGCAGGAACGAGGGUGAGCAUCUUGGGCUGGCACCAGUGCAGCCCCUGCCCAGCUGUGGGCUCCCCUGAGAGGUAGUCUCCCCUGGCACCCUUAGACAGGACUCCAGCUGCCUGGCAUGGGCAGACUGUGACACACAGACGCAUGCAAGCUCCUAGACACAGCAGCGGCACACGCGUGCAAUCUCUGGGAGGCUGAGGCAGGAGGAUGGAAAGUUGGAGCCCAGCCUGGGCAAUUUAGCA